rnacentral:rRNA from 1 species
CCUACGGGCGGCAGCAGUCGAGAAUCAUUCACAAUGGGGGAAACCCUGAUGGUGCGACGCCGCGUGGGGGAAUGCAGGUCUUCGGAUUGUAAACCCCUGUCAUGUGGGAGCAAAUUAAAAAGAUAGUACCACAAGAGGAAGAGCCGGCUAACUCUGUGCCAGCAGCCGCGGUACUACAGAGGUCUCAAGCGUUGUUCGGAAUCACUGGGCGUAAAGCGUGCGUAGGCUGUUUCGUAAGUCGUGUGUGAAAGGCGCGGGCUCAACCCGCGGACGGCACAUGAUACUGCGAGACUAGAGUAAUGGAGGGGGAACCGGAAUUCGCGGUGUAGCAGUGAAAUGCGUAGAUAGCGAGAGGAACACUCGUGGCGAAGGCGGGUUCCUGGACAUUAACUGACGCUGAGGCACGAAGGCCAGGGGAGCGAAAGGGAUUAGAUACCCUUGUAGUC